UACGAAGGGGGCUAGCGUUGCUCGGAAUCACUGGGCGUAAAGCGCGCGUAGGCGGCCCGGUAAGUCCGCUGUGAAAGUCAAAGGCUCAACCUUUGAAUGUCAGCGGAUACUGCCGGGCUAGAGUCCGGAAGAGGCGAGUGGAAUUCCUGGUGUAGCGGUGGAAUGCGCAGAUAUCAGGAGGAACACCAACGGCGAAGGCAGCUCGCUGGGACGGUACUGACGCUGAGGCGCGAAAGCGUGGGGAGCGAACAGG
rnacentral:rRNA from 1 species